rnacentral:rRNA from 1 species
ACUGAACGCUGGCGGCAGGCCUAACACAUGCAAGUCGAGCGGACGAACGGAGCUCGCUCUUCUCUUCAGCUGCGGACGGGCGAGUAAUGCCUAGGAAUAUGCCCGGCCGUUGGGGAUAACGUCCCGUAACGGGCGCUAAUAUCGCACACGACCUGAGGUAGAAAGUGGGGGAUCUUCGGACCUCACGCGAUUUGCUGAGCCUGGGUCGGAUUAGCUAGUUGGUAGGGUAAAGGGUUACCAAGGCGACGAUCCGUAACUGCUCUGAGAGGGUGAUCAGUCACACUGGAACUGAGACACGGUCCAGACUCCUACGGGAGGCAGCAGUAGGGAAUAUUGGACAAUGGGCGAAAGCCUGAUCCAGCAAUGCCGCGUGAGUGAAGAAGGUCUUCGGAUUGUAAAGCUCUUUAAGUAGGGAGGAAGGGCAGUAUGUGAAUACAUUGCUGUCUUGACGGUACCAACAGAGAAAGCACCGGCUAACUACGUG